rnacentral:rRNA from 1 species
AACGUAGGAGACAACCGUUAUCCGGAGUUACUGGGCGUAAAGGGCGUGCAGGUGGUCUGUUAAGUCUGGCGUGAAAGCUCUCGGCUAAACCGGGAGAGGUCGUUGGAUACUGGCGGACUAGAGGACGGUAGAGGCGUGUGGAAUUCCGGGUGUAGUGGUGAAAUGCGUAGAGAUCCGGAGGAACACCAGUGGCGAAGGCGACACGCUGGGCCGUACCUGACACUAAAACGCGACAGCAUGGGGAGCGAACGGG